AUUGAACGCUGGCGGCAUGCCUUACACAUGCAAGUCGAACGGCAGCACGGGAGCUUGCUCCUGGUGGCGAGUGGCGAACGGGUGAGUAAUAUAUCGGAACGUACCCUAGAGUGGGGAUAACGCAGCGAAAGUUGCGCUAAUACCGCAUACGAUCUACGGAUGAAAGUGGGGGAUCGCAAGACCUCAUGCUCAUGGAGCGGCCGAUAUCUGAUUAGCUAGUUGGUGGGUAAAGGCCUACCAAGGCAUCGAUCAGUAGCUGGUCUGAGAGGACGACCAGCCACACUGGAACUGAGACACGGUCCAGACUCCUACGGGAGGCAGCAGUGGGGAAUUUUGGACAAAUGGGGGGCAACCCUGAUCCAGCAAUGCCGCGUGAGUGAAGAAGGCCUCGG
rnacentral:rRNA from 1 species